rnacentral:lncRNA from 1 species
UCUCAGCCACCUGAGUAGCUGGGAUUAAAGCCACUAUGCUUGGCUAAUUUUUUUUUGUAUUUUUAGUAGAGAUGGGGUUUUGCCAUGUUGGCCAGGCUGGUUUUGAACUCCUGGCCUCAAGUGAUCCACCCGCCUCAGCCUCCCAAAGUGCUGGGAUUACAGGCGUGAGUCACCACACCCGGGCAACAAAAUUUUUUAAAGACCACAUUUUCACUUCCUCUGAACAAUAUCAAACAAAACGUGGACUUUUAAACGUUUUUAAAACAAAAUCUUUCCACAUCCCCUAGACUGUUAAAAUAAUCUGGGAAGCAUGCAGCAUUGUAAAACUGACUCAUAUUCAUUUUCUCAUCCAAUUCCACAAUUACUUAUUAGAACUUAUGAUGGGCUGCUCUAAGAUCUAAGACAUAGUGGUAAAGAUGACACAUAGGGCCCCUGGCUUUCACAAAGCUUACAUUCCAACGAAGACAUCAGGAAAACUAAGUAAUCUGCUUAUAGACAGAUGCUCUAUAAAGAAAUCUAGGGCUGGGCGUGGUGGCUUAUGCCUGUAAUUCCAGCACUUUGGGAGGCAGAGGCGGGUAAAUCACCUGAGGUCAGGAGUUCAAGACCAGCC